AGAAGCUUUCAGGAGGUGACAGUGCACACAGGCCUGAGACUUGAAGAGUGGCGACUACAUACAAGGAGGAAGGGUGUUCAAGGCAGAAGGAACAGCAGUGAAAAGGCCCGAGGCAUCGAGGCUUGUCCAGUGGUUCAGGGUGCCUGAGAAGAGAGUGCAAGUGGCCCCGAGGAGGCCAGGCAGGGACCAGGUCGAGAAAGGGCGGGAGAAUCAGGCCAAGCGGCUUGGAUUUCAUGCCGGGGCUGGGAGAGGGGCUCUGUUUUCUUGGUCUGAGGGAGAGGGGCCCUGUGUUCUUGGUGUGUGGAGAGGGGCCCUGUGUUCUUGGUCUUGGGGAGAGGGGCCUGUGUUCUUGGUCUGAGGAGACGGGCCCAGUGUUCUUGGUCUGGGGAGAGGGGCCUGAGUUCUUGUUCUGGGGGAGAGGGGCCCUGUGUUCUUGGUCUGAGACAGAGAGGCCUAGUGUUCUUGGUCUGGGGAGAGGGGCCUGUGUUCUUGGUCUGAGGGUGAGGGCUCUGUUUUCUUGCUCUGAGGAAGAGGGGCGCAAGUGUUCUUGGUCUGAGGAAGAGAGGUCCAGUGUUCUUGGUCUGGGGAGAGGGACCCUGUGUUCUUGGUCUUGGGGAGAGGGACCGUGUGUUCUUGGUCUUGGGGAGAAGGGCCGUGUGUUCUUGGUCUUGGGGAGAGGGGCCUGUGUUCUUGGUCUGGGGGAGAGGGGCUCUGUUUUCUUGGUCUGAGGAAGAGGUGCCCAGUGUUCUUGGUCUGGGGAGAGGGACCCUGUGUUCUUGGUCUUGGGGAGAAGGGCCGUGUGUUCUUGGUCUUGGGGAGAGGGGCCUGUGUUCUUGGUCUGGGGAGAGGGACCCUGUGUUCUUGGUCUUGGGGAGAAGGGCCGUGUGUUCUUGGUCUUGGGGAGAGGGACCCUGUGUUCUUGGUCUUGGGGAGAGGGGCCUGUGUUCUUGGUCUUGGGGAGAGGGGCCUGUGUUCUUGGUCUGGGGAGAGGGGCCUGUGUUCUUGGUCUGGGGAGAGGGGCCUGUGUUCUUGGUCUGGGGAGAGGGGCCUGUGUUCUUGGUCUGGGGGAGAGGGGCCUCUGUCCCCAGCUGCAGCUGUCUGGAGUGGAUUAUUUCUCACUGAGCUGGGAUGAGGGUCCAGGGAGGCACCGGUUUGGGUUCACACACCAUGGACUCCUACCUUUUUCCCGAAUUUUCGGAAAUCUUUUGAAUAGAUGUUUCUUCAUUUUCUCUUCACUCCUUGCACCAUUUGCAGAAGUCAUAAAUAUUUUUACAAUUUCUUUACUAGUUUUCACCAGCUUCCUGGAAGACUAGGCUUGCGGAGCCUCUCAUGCUGGUCAUGCUAGAUGUUGAUCUCUGACGGCCGAGGUUUUGGUCUUUUUUUUCUUCUGUCUGUUAUACACACCAAACCUUACAGAGCUGGGCACCGAAUAGAGGCUCAAGAAAUAUUUCCAAAUGAGUGAGCAGCAGAAAACAGCUUGAUUCUUCCCCUCCACGCUCUUGUUCAACUUCCCCCCUGCCCAGGACGAAAGGUCGGGGCUUUCCCUCCGAUGUUUCGGUGGGUCCGUAUCUGACAAUAACCCCUCCCCGCCCAGCCUCUUUGGGGUGUCGGAGGCCCUAACCCGGUCUAACAAUCACAGAACUCUAACUUCCAUUGACCAUGUGGGUCCCUCGACCCCCUGACCCUUGCCCAGCUCCAGAGUGGACGGUGGGUGGUGGCCAGUCUCUUUUCUCGUCCUGCUCUCCUGGUCUCAGGCUGCUAUUCCUGACUCACCCCCUCAGGGCCAGCAAGAGGGAGGGCUGUCUGUGUCCUGCGGCUGCUGUAACAAGCCACCACGAGCUUUAGUGACUUUAACAACGCGCAGUGACUCUCUACACUUCGGGAGGCCAGAUAGUCCAAAGUCAGGCUCGCCGGGCUGAAGUUGAGGCGUCGGCAGGGCCGGCUCCUUCUGGAGCCUCCUGGGAGAUCCGGCCUUUGCCUCUUCCAUCUUCCAGAGCCACAUUCCUCGCAUCCCUUGGCUCGUGGCCUCUUUCUCCAGCUUCACAGCCAGCAGCGUAGCAUCACGCUUCAGUCACAUUUCCUGCCUCUUCCGUGCCGAAUCUCCUUCUGCCUCCCUCUCGUAGGACACUUCAGAUCAGGUUUAGGGCCCAGAAUCCAGGAUCGUCUCCCAUCUCAAGAUCCUUAAGUUAACCACAUCUGCCAAAUCCCUUUGGCAUAUGAGGGAAUGCUCACGGGUUCCCAAGAUUAGGAUCCAGAUGUCUUUAGGCCAUUAAUCAGCCUGCCACCAGGGGGUUAUGGUCUAAGGCCUGAGCAGUCUUAUGUGGCUGGUUCUGCCAUGGCCUGGCAUGGCCAGUGGCCACUGCUGAUUUUUCCUCCUGUGUGCAGCUUUGCAGGGACCUCCCAUGGGGACCCCAGCUGCAACUCCCAGGAUGAGACUUGAUGCUCUCCCAGCUGCCAGCUCUGAUGCCCCCUCGUUCUAGGCCCCAGCAUCCAUCCCCACUUGGGGUACCUGGAACCCCCAAGGAGGCCUCUCAGUCCAGCCCCGUUUGUGGGGUCCUAUUUGUCACUGGGUGCUGGGUGCAUUUACCCUCCUACAAAGAUUUGCUGCUCAUCUCCACACGGCUCUCGACUCACUGUGUGAUGGGCAGCCCGGGCUCUGGGCUGAGACCUUGUGGCACAGGGCUGUGGACAGGCCUGAGCUCAGGUCUGCCACUUACUAGCCGCAGGGCCUUGGGAGAGCUGCUUGCCUUUUCCUGAGUGACUUGGCACAGAAUGAGAACUUUGAAAAACAAAGUAAACCAGCCGCCAGGUCCACAAGCCCCAGAGGACACGUGCUCAGCUUACUAAGGGAGCUCCCCCAACUCUUGCCUCCAGGCACCUCAGAUUUGGGGUGGGAGUGGAUCCCAAACCCCGCCCCCUCGGAGUGCACCAUUCUGAAGCUUUGAAACCCUAGCUGAAACAGGGCCGGAAAGAGGCGCCUUAUAACAUCCUGUCACCCUGGGGUCUGGGGCAGGCGGAAAACAGCGGGGGCCGAGAGGAGGGAUGGUGAGGGGGCUCCUGGAUGGGGCCAAGCCGAGCCCUGGGCAGCACCACCCGCCUGCUCCUCUUGGGGCUCCCGGGCGGGUGACGGCUUCUGCCAUCUUCCUGUUCUUUCCCCUCAGCUUUUUUUUUUUUUUUUUUUAAACUAAACCUUUUGUUUAGAGAUAACUGUAGAUUCACAUAUAUUUUAUCAACUUUUUACAUAGGAAAAUUUCAAACCUUCCGAAAAACUGUCAGAAUGGCAUAGUGACACCCAUAUAUCCCCCACCUGCAUUCACCAAUUAAUAUCUGAUUGAGUUCAUGGUUUUUAAUCUAUUAUCCAUAACUAUGUAGACACACAUAGAAAUAUGGACACAGUCUGUCCACUAGGAAAUACUUUUCUAAAAACUCAUUACAUAUAUAAUGUAAAUAUAUACUCACAUUUUUUUCCGUAGCUCUGUCUGCAGAGAGGGUCUAGAAGCCAUGACACCUCCAUAGUAACAAGCACAACUAACACCAGCUCAAUUCUGGUUUCUAAAUACCAUCCUCCACCUCCCGGAGAUGCCAGUUCCCGCGCGGGGGCAGCAAAAGUCCUAAGGAGCCUGGAAGCUAUCCGAAAGUUAGGAAGUCCUCAGAGAGCUCUGGGGACUUGUCAAAAGGACACAGAGGCAGCUUGAAUGGAGUCCCACUGGCCAAAUCUGGGGCAAUUUGAGCAUAAAAUAUAAAUAAUGUGGGGCUGGCCCCGUGGUCAAGUGGUUAUGUCCGCGCACUCUGCUUCUGCGACCCAGGGUUCAGAUCCCGGGCACGGACAUAGCACCGCUGAGAAGGACACGUUGAGGUGGCGUCCCACAUGCCACAACUAGAAGGACCCACAACUAAAAUAUACAACUGUGUACUAGGGGGAUUUGGGGAGAAAAAAGCAGAAAAAAAGAACAUUGGCAACAGUUGUUAGCUCAGGUGCCAAUCUUUAAAAAAAAAUAAUAAGUAAAUAAAUAAUGAUAGUAAUGGAUUGUAAUCCA
rnacentral:lncRNA from 1 species